AGAACGAACGCUGGCGGCGUGCCUAACACAUGCAAGUCGAGUGCGAAUGGAGCAAUCCUAGUAGAGCGGCGCACGGGUGCGUAACACGUGGGUAAUCUGCCUGGAAGACCGGAAUAACCUGCCGAAAGGCUGGCUAAUACCGGAUAAGCCUACGGGAUCUUCGGAUUCUGUAGGAAAAGGUGGCCUCUGUAUACAAGCUAUCACUUCCAGAUGAGCCCGCGGCCCAUCAGCUAGUUGGCGGGGUAACGGCCCACCAAGGCAACGACGGGUAGCUGGUCUGAGAGGACGAUCAGCCACACUGGAACUGAGACACGGUCCAGACUCCUACGGGAGGCAGCAGUGGGGAAUUUUGACACAA
rnacentral:rRNA from 1 species